AUCCUUCAGUUCAUGAAUAUGAUGACUGCGUGUUCAUGCUGUUUGUAUUUGAGUACUUUCCUCAAAUCUUGUUAUGAUAUCAGUACAUUAUCCAUCUAAUG
rfam:Cavia porcellus supercont2_48 genomic scaffold, whole genome shotgun sequence.